UAUCAGCUCCCAUAUACCUUUUAUAUGGGCUCAAGAAAAAAAAAAAAAAAAAGAGAGAGCCUAAGUCCACCUUAUGCUUCUGAUUUGUUCCGUAGGGAUUUUAGUUUCAUUCAUUUAUGGUAAACUUGUGAUUUUAGUUUUAUCACAUGUGCAAUAGAAUCUAAUUGAUGUUAGUUAAUGUACCGUGUGGAGGUCACACAGACGCCUAAAUACCAAGACGGUCCCAACGGCCUUAGGAGACAGGAAUGCAUUAGAGCGACUGAACGCAGCAGAAUCAACAAGAUCAGAUUACCAUAGACAGAACGCCUGGUUCCAGUCAACAAUCAUGUUUCCAUAUAAAGAUUAAAAUAAUUAGUGACUAAAGAUAUUGGAUUGAGAUUGAAUCGUGAUUAAGAUUUCAUUAAUCUCAAGUUCAUGCCGAAAAUUAUAAAUACAGGUCAGAGGUAAGAGGUACACCUCCGAACGGUGGAGUAAAAACGAAUACUUAAAACAACUAUCAAACGACUUUCCAAGAGAAAUUGUGCAGGAUGCAAUGAAUGAGAGUAUGAGGAGAAGAACUCCGACCGCAGCACUAGCAAUCCAUAUUCUCCUCUUCUUGCCU